GGAAACUUUCCGUAGAGCUCUGGU
rnacentral:siRNA from 1 species